rnacentral:rRNA from 1 species
CCUACGGGAGGCAGCAGUGAGGAAUAUUGGACAAUGGUCGAAAGACUGAUCCAGCCAUGCCGCGUGCAGGAAGACGGCCCUAUGGGUUGUAAACUGCUUUUGUUUGGGAAGAAACCUUUCUACGUGUAGAAAGCUGACGGUACCAUACGAAUAAGCACCGGCUAACUCCGUGCCAGCAGCCGCGGUAAUACGGAGGGUGCAAGCGUUAUCCGGAUUUAUUGGGUUUAAAGGGUCCGUAGGCGGACUUAUAAGUCAGUGGUGAAAUCCUGCAGCUCAACUGUAGAACUGCCAUUGAUACUGUAAGUCUUGAAUUCGGUUGAAGUGGGCGGAAUAUGGCAUGUAGCGGUGAAAUGCUUAGAUAUGCCAUAGAACACCGAUUGCGUAGGCAGCUCACUAAGCCUGGAUUGACGCUGAGGGACGAAAGCGUGGGUAGCGAACAGGAUUAGAUACCCUGGUAGUCCACGCCGUAAACGAUGAUUACUCGACAUUAGNGAUACACGUAGUGUNAUAAGACGAAGACGAUUAAGUAAGUACCACCGUCGGGUAAGGUACGUUACGUUCGAAGAAGUUAGAAACGUAACGAAAGGAAGUUAGACGGCGNGAGAGNGCGACGGACGACGACGAGGGAGGAGGAG